rnacentral:tRNA from 1 species
GCCCCCGUAGCCCAGUGGUAGAGCGCUCCACUUAUUCUUAGGACUAUUGUUAGGAGAGGACCGCGGUUCGAAUCCGCGCGGGGGCA